rnacentral:siRNA from 1 species
CUGAUGAAACGAACAGGGCCUUA